GACGAACGCUGGCGGCGUGCUUAACACAUGCAAGUCGAACGGAAAGGCCCUGCUUUUGUGGGUUGCUCGAGUGGCGAACGGGUGAGUAACACGUGAGUAUCCUGCCCUUGACUUUGGGAUAACUUCAGGAAACUGGGGCUAAUACCGGAUAUGAGCUCCUGCUGCAUGGUGGUGGUUGGAAAGUUUCGGCGGUUGGGGAUGGACUCGCGGCUUAUCCGCUUGUUGGUGUGGUAGUGGCUUACCAAGGCUUUGACGGGUAGCCGGCCUGAGAGGGUGACAGGCCACAGUGGGACAGGGAUGGGACCCAGAGUGAUACGGAGGCAGCAGUGGGGAAUAUUGCAGAAUGGGCGGAAGCCUGAUGCAGAAACGUCGAGUGCGGGAUGACGGCCUUCGGGUUGUAAACAGAUUUCGCAUGUGACGAAGAGUGAGUGACGGUAACGGGUAAAGAAGCACCGGCUAACUACGUG
rnacentral:rRNA from 1 species